GGGGCGGGGCGGGGCUCCCCGCGGUAUUUGCAUGCUGCUGUGUGUUAUGGGAAGUCGCCGUGAGCGAGAAGGGCCGUGCGGGCGGCACCUUAUAAGCGGCGGGAGGGCGGCGCUGCGCAGGGCGGCGGGAAGCUCAGCGGUGGGGCCACGCGCGGAGUGCGCGUCACUCUCUCGGCCCCUGGGAAGGUCUGAGACUCGGGCCAGCAGCGGCCCUAGCAGGGCCCUCCCCGCGCGCGGGGGGGUGAGUUCCCAGAGAGCGGGCCCCGGAGAGGGCCUUCGGGCAGGAGAGGCCGCGCGCGCGGCGGAUGCCCCCUCCCCGGGGCUUGGAAUAGACUCACGGCCGGCACGGUUGAGGAUAGAGUCCACAGAGGAAGGCAGGCCUGGGUCCUCAGAGGCCUGCGUGCCAGCCCCGAAGAGGCACAUGGAAGCAUCCGCAACAUUACCGUAGACUCCCCGCCAACCAAGUGGGCUUGGAUUCGGACAUUCUCAGUGGGGAUGGUCAGAGGCUGAUGGGACCAUAAAGCAAGUAUUUGAGCUUUGACUACGAUAGGCCUUAGUGUUCUCUGUGUCUCUGUGUCUCUUAGUGUUAUUUGUGUCUUUUCUAGUGAAAAAAGAUAGGUUCUUUGAGUUACUGGUGUAUCGCAUAAUGCUAGACACAGCAAGGGCACGGAGUCAUCGGCGUGGAACCGAGUAAAACUGAGCAGUAGUAGUAAUCUUAGGAACGUCAGAUGAUGGGUAUUAUCCAUUUGUCGUUUGUGUAGACCUUCGCAUAUGUAAAAUGUACAUUUUGGCCAUGAGCAUUAGCACUUAGUAGCAUUUACCUCUCAUAGGGAACAAAAGGAGUGGGUCAUUGAUAGUUCUUGGGGUAUUUACAGAAUAUUUAUUUGAGCUCCCUAAAUGCUCAGUACAUAUGAAGUGGUUUCAUGUGGCUGAAGCACAGCUAGAACCUGCAGGGAGCAGCACAUCGUGGGAGAGGUGUCGUAGGCUUCACAUCAGGAUUUAGGUCUUACGCUUCAGCUCACGUGCCAAGGAUGCAGAGACCAGAGCUUUUGCAACCGAGGUUGUUUGUGAGGUGGUUCGAAUUGAGACGUUGCACCUUUAGAUACAGAAUUGUUCUCCUGUGAGGAGAUCAUGGAGUUUCGAGGUAGACAUUGUUAAAACUGCAGGAACCUGGCACUUCAGGCCUUACUUCCUGUCUAUGUUCCCUUAUUAAUUAAUUGAAUAGGCGCUCGUCCGAAAACCACUUACGUAACGAAAGCAUUAUUCAACUAUAGGAUGGGAGUUCAACUAACACUUUGAUUAUGUGUCUCAAGUACUUAAAACACCUCACUCUUUCUGACCUGAGCUGGCACAGCGUUCUCAUGAUCUGCCAAAACAAACCGUCUUCUGUAGCUCCGCCUCUUAUUUUGCAUAGGAAGUGGCAUGGAGAAGUAAAAAUUGGGGAGUUU
rnacentral:lncRNA from 1 species